UACGUAGGGUGCAAGCGUUAAUCGGAAUUACUGGGCGUAAAGCGUGCGCAGGCGGUUUUGUAAGUCUGUCGUGAAAUCCCCGGGCUCAACCUGGGGAAUUGCGAUGGAGACUGCAAGGCUAGAAUCUGGCAGAGGGGGGUAGAAUUCCACGUGUAGCAGUGAAAUGCGUAGAGAUGUGGAGGAACACCGAUGGCGAAGGCAGCCCCCUGGGGUCAAGAUUGACGCUCAUGCACGAAAGCGUGGGGAGCAAACGAGGA
rnacentral:rRNA from 1 species